rnacentral:rRNA from 1 species
CCUACGGGUGGCUGCAGUGAGGAAUAUUGGUCAAUGGACGAGAGUCUGAACCAGCCAAGUAGCGUGAAGGAUGACUGCCCUAUGGGUUGUAAACUUCUUUUAUAAAGGAAUAAAACGUGGCACGUGUGCCUUUUUGUAUGUACUUUAUGAAUAAGGAUCGGCUAACUCCGUGCCAGCAGCCGCGGUAAUACGGAGGAUCCGAGCGUUAUCCGGAUUUAUUGGGUUUAAAGGGAGCGUAGAUGGGUUGUUAAGUCAGUUGUGAAAGUUUGCGGCUCAACCGUAAAAUUGCAAUUGAUACUGGCAGUCUUGAGUACAGUAGAGGUGGGCGGAAUUCGUGGUGUAGCGGUGAAAUGCUUAGAUAUCACGAAGAACCCCGAUUGCGAAGGCAGCUUACUAAACUGUGACUGACAUUGAUGCUCGAAAGUGUGGGUAUCAAACAGGAUUAGAUACCCCAGUAGUC